AGGGAAGUGACAUCCCAUGGCCCCUCAUGCACCCUGUGGCCUCCCCAGCAUGACACAUUGGACUAGACCAGGCACAUGGAAGCAAAUUCCCAGAACUGAUUUGGAGCAUAAUGAGUCAGAGGGAGACAGUGGGGUUGACUCCAAAGACCCGGGAUGUAGGUGAUAACUCCACGAAGGUGACAUCUGCACUUGCAAGCAGCAGGUGACACUUUGAAGACUUUGAAGACCCAACCUCAAGAGAGUGGGUUGCCAUACCCUUGGGGCCCUAAGUCUCUUUUACCCUGCCUCCCUCCCUCUCCUAGCCUCCUUUCCUCCAGGCGCCCUGCACAUAGACCCUCUGAGCUGGGCGCAGACGCUGCUAGUAGUCAGGGCUCCAUGCUGCUCCGCCUCCCUCCC
rnacentral:lncRNA from 1 species